UACGGGGGGGGCAAGCGUUGUUCGGAAUUACUGGGCGUAAAGGGCUCGUAGGCGGCCAACUAAGUCAUACGUGAAAUCCCUCAGCUUAACUGGGGAACUGCGUGUGAUACUGGAUGGCUUGGAUUUGGGAGAGGGAUGCGGAAUUCCAGGUGUAGCGGUGAAAUGCGUAGAUAUCAGGAGGAACACCGAUGGCGAAGGCAGCUCGCUGGGACGGUACUGACGCUGAGGCGCGAAAGCGUGGGGAGCAAACAGG
rnacentral:rRNA from 1 species